rnacentral:rRNA from 1 species
UACGUAGGGGGCAAGCGUUGUCCGGAUUUAUUGGGCGUAAAGAGCGUGUAGGCGGCCAGACAAGUCUGCUGUGAAAACUCGAGGCUCAACCUCGAGCUGUCGGCGGAAACCAUCUGGCUAGAGUCCGGAAGAGGAGUGUGGAAUUCCUAGUGUAGAGGUGAAAUUCGUAGAUAUUAGGAAGAACACCGGUGGCGAAGGCGGCCCACUGGAUCGGUACUGACGCUGAGGUGCGAAAGCGUGGGGGAGCAAACAGG